rnacentral:rRNA from 1 species
CUUUCACAGGUUGACCUCGGAUCAGGUAGGGAUACCCGCUGAACUUAAGCAUAUCAAUAAGCGGAGGAAAAGAAACCAACAGGGAUUACCUCAGGUAACGGCGAGUGAAGCGGUAACAGCUCAAAUUUGAAAUCUGGCUCUUUCAGGGUCCGAGUUGUAAUUUGUAGAC